rnacentral:tRNA from 1 species
CGCCGAACUGGCCAACCUGCCUGAAGUCGAGUCCUUCACGGUGACGCAAGCCAGCCGCGCCUGAACGGCCG